CUCUGGACAGCUUACUGACCUCGGCUUGCCCGGACUGCUCCCCUCCCCUGGGCCAUCACGACCUCCUCUCCUCCGUCUUAAUUAAAUGCCCUUUCCUCCUGGUUUGGCAGCUCCUCCCUCAGCCUGGCUGUCUACACAGCAGGGCCCACGGGGCACUCUGUGUGGCCCCCUCCUCCCCGGCCUCCGCCCUCAGCCAAGCUCUCAACAACGCCCAGCGCGGGGCGGGCACAGACUGUGCAGGCCCUAAACCCUGGAAAGAUUAUGGGGCACACACCGGGAGGACGGCGGAGAGGUGAUCGCGGGCACACACGGCACAAUCGGGGGCGAUGCGCGGAGGCCCCGAGGCUGUGGUUUGCGCGGCUCAGAGGCGGCGCGCACUGACCCAGGCGGCGGGAGCGCGUGCUGCCGGGCGGCCCGGUCCGCGGCCCGGGGUCCGCACACUCACCGGACGGAGGCUGAACUCACCACCGACCCGUCCGCCCGGAGUGUGGGUCCCGCGAGGCCCGGGCGUCUGAGCGACGCGAACCGGGCGGCGCUGCGCCAUUCACACUGGGAGGUGCGGGCGCCGCGCGCGCUGCGGGUCCUCCGCGCCCGGUGGCUGGUCCCCAGGCAGCGGAGAAGGCCAUGGUGGACACCAAAGAGGAGGGGAGAGCGAAGGAAUUCUUCGCGGUUAGUUUGGCUGUGGGGCCGGUGGACUGGGGAAGCGGAGCUGACUCCCCGAGGAAUUUCCAGACCAGCCUGAACUCCAGCAGGUUGUGGGGUGGCUCUGUGUGGAACCCCACGGCAGCCACUUCUCAGCUGCAUAGCUAACCCUCUAUACCUAGACCCUUACCUGUGAACGGUGGCACCUACCCCGCAGGGUGGCGUGAGGAGUAAUGAGCACUCCUGGUCCUCGGGCGUCAGACCCAGACCGGCAUCGGCACCAGUGGCUCUCGGCUCUCCACUGCCUUCCUGGGUCUCCAGCCUGCAGAGGGCAGAUGGUGGGACUUCUCAGGCUCCAUGAUUGUGUGAGCUCAUCCCUUAUGACAAAUCUCUCUAUAUCUACAUCCUGUUGGUUCAGAAAGACCUUGACUAAUACACCAUAGGGCUCACCCUAUAAACUGAUGGAGAUUACCAUUCUGUGAGUACUUGGUGCUAACUCCAGCUCUGGGUUUGGAGGGUUGCAUGCCUGCAGAGGACCUGGAUGCUCUGUGCCCACCCUCUGCCCCUGACCCUGCCACCUUGGGUGUCUCUUCAUUUGGCUCUUCGUUUGUAUCCUUUAUAAAAAGGCUGUUAUACUAAAUAUAGUGUUUUUCUGAGUUCUACGAGUUGUUCUGGCAGAUUACUGAACCUGAAGGGGGUUAUGGGACCCCCCCCAAAUUUGUAGCUGGUUGGGCAGAAGUGCUGGUGGUCUGGAGACUUGGCACUUGGAACUGGCAUCUGAAGUGGGGCAGUCUUGUGGAACUGAGCCCUUAACCUGUGGGGUGUAGGCUAACCCUGGGUAGUUAGUUUCAGGAUUGGAUUGAAUUAUAGGGCAUCCUGUUGGUGUCAGAGAAUUGCUGUUAGAACAUACUGGGUAAAAAUCUGACUGCUCUGUGGCUGGCUAAUACUAUGUGUUUCUAGCCCCAGAGUCAUGUGUGUUCUCGUAUUAACACAGUGCUUGCCCUCAACCCCCACAGGCCACACCAGACUUUACGUCAUAGCAGGAAGGCUGAGGCUGGGGGGUGGAGAGAGUAGGGGCACAUGUUUCCUUCUGACUUCAGGGGCCUCUCUCUGUGUUUGGAUGCAUGUUCUGGGGAGGUAGCAUGCGGACAGACCCAGUGCACAUUUAGGGGCACGGUCCUCCCUCCAGGCUGUGCCAGGUGCACCCACCUUUGUUCUUCGUUGGAAGGCCACGCCUGUUCGCAAGUACCGUCUGAGGACACGUGGAGCCCGUAACGCCCAUCAUUGGAGCAACAAUGCUGGACCGAGUUCUGAAGAUUCUCGUCAAAAUCCAGAGGGAUUGUAAAUUGAAACUUCCUAAAUGAGGACAGGGUCCCACAUGAAACACCUGGCGCCUUCACAAGGGAAUCAACCAACAGCAAGAGAACCAGGUGACAGAAUUUACAGACACGGCUUCCCUGGGUCUGGACAGAGUGGAAAGGACGAGAGCAGACGGAGGAACGGGUUGAGGACACCCAGCUUGGGGCUCCAUAUAAAUGGCCCUUCAAAACAGAUAGCUAAACAAGAGAUGAAAUAAAGGGAAAAUGGACAGAUCUGGGGCUUUGUAAACUGUGUCAGAUGCCAGCCUAGCAAGCAGAGAAAGCCGGGGCCUGAUUCUCUCUGUACCCCAUGGUUCUCUGUGGGGGGAGAGAAUGGAGCAUGCAUGUAUGUGUGUGGGGGGGAGGUGGAGGGGGUGCUUGGAAGGUUCUGGAAACCCGCCCCCACCCCAGAACCUGGUGAUUCCAUCCAAGAGCAAGUGUAGAAAUAGUCUAUCACCGGGAGCUGACAGCAUUCUGAGAGGCUCCUGUCACAUCUUCUCAAACCCAUAAUUAAUUAACUCAUAUCUCCAGCCCAGGGUGUUUGUUUAUAUGGCAAAUUUGUUUCCACAG
rnacentral:lncRNA from 1 species